rnacentral:rRNA from 1 species
UACAGAGGGGGCAAGCGUUAUUCGGAAUUAUUGGGCGUAAAGGGCGCGUAGGCGGCUUGGCAAGUGGAAGGUGAAAUCCCUCGGCUUAACCGGGGAACUGCCCUCCAAACUGCUUUGCUUGAGGCCGGGAGAGGUGAGUGGAAUUCCCAGUGUAGCGGUGAAAUGCGUUGAGAUCGGCAGGAACGCCCGCGGCGAAAGCGAGGCCCUGGACCCUUACUGACGCUGAGACGCGAAAGCCAGGGGAGCGAACGGG